rnacentral:rRNA from 1 species
CAGCAGCCGCGGUAAUACGGAGGGGGCUAGCGUUGUUCGGAAUUACUGGGCGUAAAGCGCACGCAGGCGGUUCGUUAAGUCUGCCGUGAAAUCCCCGGGCUCAACCUGGGAAUGGCAGUGGAUACUGGCUCGCUAGAGUGUGUCAGAGGAUGGUGGAAUUCCCGGUGUAGCGGUGAAAUGCGUAGAGAUUGGGAAGAACACCGGUGGCGAAGGCGGCAACCUGGCUCAUUACUGACGCUGAGGCGCGAAAGCGUGGGGAGCAAACAGGAUUAGAUACCCGCGUAGUCCCUGUCUCUUAUAC